AACGAACGCUGGCGGCAUGCCUAACACAUGCAAGUCGAACGAGACCUUCGGGUCUAGUGGCGCACGGGUGCGUAACGCGUGGGAAUCUGCCCUUGGGUUCGGAAUAACUCGCCGAAAGGCGUGCUAAUACCGGAUGAUGUCGUAAGACCAAAGAUUUAUCGCCCAGGGAUGAGCCCGCGUAAGAUUAGGUAGUUGGCGGGGUAACGGCCCACCAUGGCGACGAUGUCUAGGGGUUCUGAGAGGAAGGUCCCCCACACUGGAACUGAGGCACGGUCCAG
rnacentral:rRNA from 1 species